GGUUGUUGAUACAUACUACAAUGAUGACAGUGAUAUUAAAAAGGAUGAAGAACUUCAGAACUUCUGUCGCUAUACUUACCAUUGUGGAUUUCAGGGACAAACAGAUUUCCCUGAAACAGUGGAAACUAAAGCAGAAGCAGUCAAAUACCUGAGCAUGGUGAUGUUUACCUGCUCAGCUCAGCACGCCGCCGUGAACCACGGACAGUAUGAUAUGUACGCUUGGAUGCCAAACGGUCCCACAACAAUGAGGCAGCCCCCACCAAGGAACGUGGACGAGGUAGAUGAGGAUUACAUCAUCAAUACUCUGCCUGAUAUGGAGACGACCCUGCAGGCCAUGUUUGUAACCCAGUUCCUCAGUCAAGUCGCCAAAGAUUUUGUAAGUACUUAUCUGUUUGCUGGUACUGAACCUUUUCCAGUUAUUCCUUGAUCCCUAUGUUCUUAUCCCAAACUGAUUCAUUCUGCUCUGUUACUGGUAAGUGGCCUGAUAAUGGAUGGAUUGAUUUGUUCUGUUUACUUUUCUGUGUGAUAAAAGGAUACUGAGUCACUGUCAUUUUGCACCAAUUUCAUGGCACUUUGUUGUGGAAUCUUCUUUUCAAGCUUUAGUGUAACAAAGUAAACAGCCUUGUUCCUCAGUUUUCCAAUCUCAAGUAGGUCUGCUAUUGAAAAAAAAAUCUUAACAU